AUGAUUGCUAAGGUAACAUCAAGUGAGCCUCAUGUGGAUACUAGCACUACUUUUAGUCAAAAUGUUAUAUUGCCUUGUGCUAGUCCUCAUGAUUCAUCCAUGCAUAACAUUGGUACAUCUUGUGAUGAAUUGCUUUCCUUGCCUUGUUGCUCUCACGAUGAAGUUUAUACUUCCUCUAGUGCUUGUAUUGAGACUAAUCAUGUAGAGGAAAUCAAAGAGCUCAAGGCACAAGUCACUUCUUUGAAGAAAGACUUGGAAAAGUAUCAUGAAGGGAAGGCCACACUCAACAAUAUCUUGAAUGUGAAAAAAUCCCCCAAUGACAAAGGUGGACUUGGAUUCAACUCCAAUAAGAAGAAGAAGUCCAAGAGAAUCAAGAAGAAGGGCCAAGAACAAGUCAAUAAUUCGGCCAAGAUUAUUUGCUUCAAGUGCAAAAUUGAAGGGCAUCAUGUUAGAUCUUGCCCAUUGAAGAAGAUGGCCAUUAGUGACAAGCAACAAGGCGAGAAGAAAGUGAAGAGUAGACGUUGCUACUUAUGUCAUGAGAAAGGUCACGUCGCUUCUUCAUGCACUAGUGGUAACUUAUCCAACCCAAUUAUUAUUGAUGAUAUUUAUUCUCUUGGGAAGGAUAAGGUUGGCAAUGUGUUUGCCAAAAUUGUUGGUACUCAACGUGGCGUCAAGAAAAGAACCAUUUGGGUAGCCAAGCCUAUUGUGACUAACCUCUUAGGACCCAACUUGGUUGGGGACCAACAAGCUCAAACUUGA
rnacentral:rRNA from 1 species